rnacentral:rRNA from 1 species
CCACGGGUGGCAGCAGUGGGGAAUAUUGGACAAUGGGCGAAAGCCUGAUCCAGCCAUGCCGCGUGUGUGAAGAAGGCCUUCGGGUUGUAAAGCACUUUCAGUGGGGAAGAAAGCCUUGGGGCUAAUACCCUCGAGGAAGGACAUCACCCACAGAAGAAGCACCGGCUAACUCCGUGCCAGCAGCCGCGGUAAUACGGAGGGUGCGAGCGUUAAUCGGAAUUACUGGGCGUAAAGCGCGCGUAGGCGGUCUGAUAAGCCGGUUGUGAAAGCCCCGGGCUCAACCUGGGAACGGCAUCCGGAACUGUCAGGCUAGAGUGCAGGAGAGGAAGGUAGAAUUCCCGGUGUAGCGGUGAAAUGCGUAGAGAUCGGGAGGAAUACCAGUGGCGAAGGCGGCCUUCUGGACUGACACUGACGCUGAGGUGCGAAAGCGUGGGUAGCAAACAGGAUUAGAUACCCCGGUAGUC